rnacentral:rRNA from 1 species
UCAACCCUGGAACGGCCCUCGAUACUGGUUGUCUUGAGUCCGGAAGAGGAGAGUGGAAUACCCAGUGUAGAGGUGAAAUUCGUAGAUAUUGGGUGGAACACCAGUGGCGAAGGCGGCUCUCUGGUCCGGUACUGACGCUGAGGCGCGAAAGCGUGGGGAGCAAACAGGAUUGGAUACCCUGGUAGUCCACGCCGUAAACGAUGAGUGCUAGGUGUUGGGGUUCUUAGAACCGCAGUGCCGCCGCUAACGCAUUAAGCUCUCCGCCUGGGGAGUACGGCCGCAAGGUUAAAACUCAAAGAAAUUGACGGGGGCCCGCACAAGCGGUGGAGCAUGUGGUUUAAUUCGACGCAACGCGCAGAACCUUACCUACCCUUGACAUCCUGGUCGCGUUUUCCGGAGACGGAUUACUUCAGUUAGGCUGGACCAGUGACAGGUGCUGCAUGGCUGUCGUCAGCUCGUGUCGUGAGAUGUUGGGUUAAGUCCCGCAACGAGCGCAACCCUCAUCCUUAGUUGCCAUCAGGUCUGGCUGGGCACUCUAAGGAAACUGCCGGUAGCAAGCCGGAGGAAGGUGGGGAUGACGUCAAGUCCUCAUGGCCCUUACGGGUAGGGCUACACACGUGCUACAAUGGCGGUUACAGUGGGAUAAUCCCCAAAAACCGUCUCAGUUCGGAUUGUCUUCUGCAACUCGAAGGCAUGAAGUCGGAAUCGCUAGUAAUCGUGGAUCAGCAUGCCACGGUGA